GACGAACGCUGGCGGCGUGCUUAACACAUGCAAGUCGAACGGAAAGACCCGGCGUUUGUGGGGUGCUCGAGUGGCGAACGGGUGAGUAACACGGGAGUAACCUGCACUUGACUGUGUGAUAACUUCAGGAAACUGGGGCUAAUACCGGGGAGGAGAUCCUGCUGCAUGUGGUGGGAUGGAAAGUGUCGGCGGUGGUGUAUAGAAUAGAGGCUUAUCAGCUGGUUGGUGGGGUAGUUGAGUACCAAGGCUUUGACGGGUAGCCUGCCUGAGAGAGUGAACGGCCACCUUGCGCCUGCGAGACGGCGCAGACUGCUACCGGAGGCAGCAGUCGGGAGUCUUGCACAAUGGCGGGACGCGUGAUGCAGAAACGCUCCGUGCGGGAUGCCGGCUUUCGGGUUGUAAACAGCUUUCGAAUGUGAUGAAGACUGCGUGACGGUACUGGGUAAAGAAGCACCGGCUAACUACGUG
rnacentral:rRNA from 1 species